CGACCCUCAAGCAUAGCUUGGUGUUGGGCACGGUCCUGCGGGACCCGCCCGCAACUUGUAGGCGGCUGCCGCCCGCGCCCCCAGCGUAGCAAGCUCACGCGUUCGCUCGGGGACGGCGCGUCUGGCCCGCCCAGACAAACCCUUCCAGGU
rnacentral:misc_RNA from 1 species